AGUGAACGCUGGCGGUAGGCCUAACACAUGCAAGUCGAACGGCAGCACAGUAAGAGCUUGCUCUUACGGGUGGCGAGUGGCGGACGGGUGAGGAAUACAUCGGAAUCUACUUUUUCGUGGGGGAUAACGUAGGGAAACUUACGCUAAUACCGCAUACGACCUACGGGUGAAAGCAGGGGAUAUUCGGACCUUGCGCGAUUGAAUGAGCCGAUGUCGGAUUAGCUAGUUGGCGGGGUAAAGGCCCACCAAGGCGACGAUCCGUAGCUGGUCUGAGAGGAUGUUCAGCCACACUGGAACUGAGGCACGGUCCAGCCUCCUACGGGAGGCAGCAGUGGGGAAUAUUGGACAAAGGGCGCAAGCCUGAUCCGGCCCUACCGCGUGGGUGAAGAAGGCCUUCGGGUUGUAAAGCCCUUUUGUUGGGAAAGAAAAGCAGCAGGUUAAUACCCCGCUGUUCUGACGGUACCCAAAGAAUAAGCACCGGCUAACUUCGUG
rnacentral:rRNA from 1 species